rnacentral:rRNA from 1 species
CGGUAAUACGUAGGGUGCGAGCGUUAAUCGGAAUUACUGGGCGUAAAGCGUGCGCAGGCGGUUUUGUAAGACAGAUGUGAAAUCCCCGGGCUUAACCUGGGAACUGCAUUUGUGACUGCAAGGCUAGAGUACGGCAGAGGGGGGUAGAAUUCCACGUGUAGCAGUGAAAUGCGUAGAUAUGUGGAGGAAUACCGAUGGCGAAGGCAGCCCCCUGGGUCGAUACUGACGCUCAUGCACGAAAGCGUGGGGAGCAAACAGGAUUAGAUACCCUGGUAGUCCACGCCCUAAACGAUGUCAACUAGGUGUUGGGGGAGGAGACUCUCUUAGUACCGCAGCUAACGCGUGAAGUUGACCGCCUGGGGAGUACGGCCGCGAGGUUGAA